UCUGCCGAUGACUACCCAAUCAAGUAUGAAUCGGAGCGACUACCUCCGCCGAUCGUGACUGACCUGAAUGGCGACGUAGGAAGGAAGUUCGUUGCUACCUACGAUGCGAAGAUUCAGGAGGAUUUUCCUCAUGGCUCCCACCACAGGGAGGUAGCAAUUUAGAUAACUAAUUAUACACUAAGGCAUGGAGAUCAAGGGCUGGUGAUUGUUAGUGGCAGGAUGAAAAUGCAAUCUUAUGAACGAAAAGGGAUGACGGGUUCACGCACAUAACGCUGUAGUGGUUUUGAAACAAUUCCUGCAAGUAGAAAUCUAACGGUAGUAUUUAUAAUUCCAAAACUUUACCGCUUCUUUCAUAGCGUAGCUCUUUU